rnacentral:rRNA from 1 species
GGGACACGUGGUAUCCUGUCUGAAUAUGGGGGGACCAUCCUCCAAGGCUAAAUACUCCUGACUGACCGAUAGUGAACCAGUACCGUGAGGGAAAGGCGAAAAGAACCCCGGCGAGGGGAGUGAAAAAGAACCUGAAACCGUGUACGUACAAGCAGUGGGAGCACCUUCGGGUGUGACUGCGUACCUUUUGUAUAAUGGGUCAGCGACUUAUAUUCUGUAGCAAGGUUAACCGUAUAGGGGAGCCGCAGGGAAACCGAGUCUUAACUGGGCGUUAAGUUGCAGGGUAUAGACCCGAAACCCGGUGAUCUAGCCAUGGGCAGGUUGAAGGUUGGGUAACACUAACUGGAGGACCGAACCGACUAAUGUUGAAAAAUUAGCGGAUGACUUGUGGCUGGGGGUGAAAGGCCAAUCAAACCGGGAGAUAGCUGGUUCUCCCCGAAAGCUAUUUAGGUAGCGCCUCGUGAACUCAUCUUCGGGGGUAGAGCACUGUUUCGGCUAGGGGGUCAUCCCGACUUACCAACCCGAUGCAAACUACGAAUACCGAAGAAUGUUAUCACGGGAGACACACGGCGGGUGCUAACGUCCGUCGUGAAGAGGGAAACAACCCAGACCGCCAGCUAAGGUCCCAAAGUCAUGGUUAAGUGGGAAACGAUGUGGGAAGGCACAGACAGCCAGGAUGUUGGCUUAGAAGCAGCCAUCAUUUAAAGAAAGCGUAAUAGCUCACUGGUCGAGUCGGCCUGCGCGGAAGAUGUAACGGGGCUAAACCAUGCACCGAAGCUGCGGCAGCGACACUAUGUGUUGUUGGGUAGGGGAGCGUUCUGUAAGCCUGCGAAGGUGUGCUGUGAGGCAUGCUGGAGGUAUCAGAAGUGCGAAUGCUGACAUAAGUAACGAUAAAGCGGGUGAAAAGCCCGCUCGCCGGAAGACCAAGGGUUCCUGUCCAACGUUAAUCGGGGCAGGGUGAGUCGACCCCUAAGGCGAGGCCGAAAGGCGUAGUCGAUGGGAAACAGGUUAAUAUUCCUGUACUUGGUGUUACUGCGAAGGGGGGACGGAGAAGGCUAUGUUAGCCGGGCGA